rnacentral:rRNA from 1 species
GACGAACGCUGGCGGCGUGCCUAAUACAUGCAAGUUGAGCGCUGAAGGUUGGUACUUGUACCGACUGGAUGAGCAGCGAACGGGUGAGUAACGCGUGGGGAAUCUGCCUUUGAGCGGGGGACAACAUUUGGAAACGAAUGCUCAUACCGCAUAAAAACUUUAAACACAAGUUUUAAGUUUGAAAGAUGCAAUUGCAUCACUCAAAGAUGAUCCCGCGUUGUAUUAGCUAGUUGGUGAGGUAAAGGCUCACCAAGGCGAUGAUACAUAGCCGACCUGAGAGGGUGAUCGGCCACAUUGGGACUGAGACACGGCCCAAACUCCUACGGGAGGCAGCAGUAGGGAAUCUUCGGCAAUGGACGAAAGUCUGACCGAGCAACGCCGCGUGAGUGAAGAAGGUUUUCGGAUCGUAAAACUCUGUUGGUAGAGAAGAACGUUGGUGAGAGUGGAAAGCUCAUCAAGUGACGGUAACUACCCAGAAAGGGACGGCUAACUACGUG